UGCCCAUGGCAUACAUCGCGUUCGUGUUGCCUACUCAGAUCAGAGGCGGGCCUCGAGCGAACCAGCUGAGAUUGCAAGAAGUAGAGCAGCGGCCGCCGCCAAGGGCCAUGGUGAAGCCGGGAAAGAGAACGAGCAGGGGGCGCCAGAAAAUUGAGAUCCGCCGCAUCGACAACAAGGAGAGCCGCCAAGUCACCCAGUGCAAGCGCAAGGGCGGGCUCCUAAAGAAGGCCUCGGAGCUCCAUCUCCUCUGUGGUGCCCAAGUCGCCAUCAUCGUCUUCAAGAGAAGGGACCCCGAAAGAAAGGAGGUGCCCGUUCCGCCCCGCGGCCAACGCGACGACGGCGGCCUUGCCUUCGCGAUGGGCACCCCCUCCGUCGACCACGUCCUCCACCGCUGUGGCCUGCUCCACGCCGACGAGGGCCUCACCGCGAUCCAGGAUGUGGGCGCCAUCGCCGCAGAGCGUGCCGUUAUGGAGGCGAGAGCGGGGCAGACCGAGCAGACCAGGGCGCUCGUGGAGGCGGAGAAGGCGCGGAAUGACGCCAUCGGGCAGAAGGUGCUGCAGGCCGUGGAGGUGACCGGGAGGCGGUUCUGGUGGGAAGUGGACGUCGGGGUGCUCGGCGAGGCCGAGCUUCCGGUCUUUACUUCGCAGCUCCAGCGCCUCAGGGACAGCGUGCGGCUCCAAGCCAACAAAUCGCGGACCUCUGCUACCCCGGCCGGGGUGGCGGCGCCGUGGCUUCCGCUGGGAUAGUCUGCUGGUCAAUGUCUUGAUCCAAGGUCUAUUAGGAGCACCUUGAAAGACGAGGAAGGAGUCAGAAAUUUGCAAUGAAGCGCCGAUUGAAAGCUGUUAUCUACAAGUUUGAGCCCACUCAUGUUUUUAGGGGUCAUCGGGGGAGGGGCUCCUCAAUAGGUGCGAGACCAGGGAUGGGUAUGCCAAGUUUGGUGUCAUGAACUGAAUGUUGAGCUUGCAUUAUGGUAGGGGUUUCGUUUGGGAUAAAUGUUAUAUUUCCUUAAAAACUAGUAAAAUGCAUGCUGGUAGAGGUGCUCGUCGUGCCGUCUUUCUCGUGCAUCCGGGCCAACCAGCCUACUUAACCAUAUCACCAUCAUGCCCUUUUUCGAUCAAUUGUUAGUGACGCAAUGGAGAUCUCCAAAAAUUCAACGCAUCAGUCAUACAAAUACAAAGUUCAGUCAUAUUUGUAUUUUUGAUUUUUUAUGUAAGUACAAUAGCAUAGGCACUUCGUUUCAAACAGUGAUAAUAAGUAGUAACUAUAAUGAAUGACUAGUGAGGCAACCAGAAGGGGAGAAAUGUGAGUCACUAAAAUUCUCUUCCGAGAACAGCACCAUGACUUUGAUCUAGAUCUCGAUCCAAAACCUCUAGGAACUCACAAAU